rfam:Bradyrhizobium erythrophlei strain GAS478 genome assembly, contig: Ga0132009_11
CGAACCCUAGGGGCUUGGGAGAGCCCUGCACGGUUUGCCAGAUCCGCCAGCAACGCUUGGGAGAGCCGCGCACGGAUCGAUUUGGAGGGGAGAACCACCGAUGGAGAAUACGCUUCUCGUCGGACUAUCGCGGCAGAUGACGCUGG